GACAGAGGGUGCAAACGUUGCUCGGAAUCACUGGGCGUAAAGGGCGUGUAGGCGGGCAGGUAAGUCGGGCGUGAAAUCUCGGAGCUUAACUCCGAAACUGCAUUCGAUACUGCCGUGCUUGAGGACUGGAGAGGAGACUGGAAUUUACGGUGUAGCGGUGAAAUGCGUAGAUAUCGUAAGGAAGACCAGUGGCGAAGGCGGGUCUCUGGACAGUUCCUGACGCUGAGGCACGAAGGCUAGGGGAGCAAACGGG
rnacentral:rRNA from 1 species